GGUACCGUCAAUAAAACCAACCUAUUGGAUGAUCUUAAUUUCUUCCCUGUCGACAGAGCUUUACGACCCAAAGGCCUUCUUCACUCACGCGGCGUUGCUGCGUCAGGGUUUCCCCCAUUGCGCAAAAUCCCUC
rnacentral:rRNA from 1 species